rnacentral:rRNA from 1 species
GAUGGACGGUUAACGGAGCGUAAGCGACGUUCAACAUCAAAAAUCAGGCAGUGGAGCGUUUUGGGGUGGGGUGACUGCGUACCUUUUGUAUAAUGGGUCAGCGACUUAUAUUCUGUAGCAAGGUUAACCGUAUAGGGGAGCCGCAGGGAAACCGAGUCUUAACUGGGCGUUAAGUUGCAGGGUAUAGACCCGAAACCCGGUGAUCUAGCCAUGGGCAGGUUGAAGGUUGGGUAACACUAACUGGAGGACCGAACCGACUAAUGUUGAAAAAUUAGCGGAUGACUUGUGGCUGGGGGUGAAAGGCCAAUCAAACCGGGAGAUAGCUGGUUCUCCCCGAAAGCUAUUUAGGUAGCGCCUCGUGAAUUCAUCUUCGGGGGUAGAGCACUGUUUCGGCUAGGGGGUCAUCCCGACUUACCAACCCGAUGCAAACUACGAAUACCGAAGAAUGUUAUCACGGGAGACACACGGCGGGUGCUAACGUCCGUCGUGAAGAGGGAAACAACCCAGACCGCCAGCUAAGGUCCCAAAGUCAUGGUUAAGUGGGAAACGAUGUGGGAAGGCCCAGACAGCCAGGAUGUUGGCUUAGAAGCAGCCAUCAUUUAAAGAAAGCGUAAUAGCUCACUGGUCGAGUCGGCCUGCGCGGAAGAUGUAACGGGGCUAAACCAUGCACCGAAGCUGCGGCAGCGACACUAUGUGUUGUUGGGUAGGGGAGCGUUCUGUAAGCCGUUGAAGGUGGCCUGUGAGGGUUGCUGGAGGUAUCAGAAGUGCGAAUGCUGACAUAAGUAACGAUAAUGCGGGUGAAAAACCCGCACGCCGGAAGACCAAGGGUUCCUGUCCAACGUUAAUCGGGGCAGGGUGAGUCGACCCCUAAGGCGAGGCCGAAAGGCGUAGUCGAUGGGAAACAGGUUAAUAUUCCUGUACUUGGUGUUACUGCGAAGGGGGGACGGAGAAGGCUAUGUUGGCCGGGCGACGGUUGUCCCGGUUUAAGCAUGUAGGCGGAUGUUCCAGGUAAAUCCGGAACGUCACUAACGCUGAGGUGUGAUGACGAGGCACUACGGUGCUGAAGUGACAAAUGCCCUGCUUCCAGGAAAAGCCUCUAAGCAUCAGGUAACAUCAAAUCGUACCCCAAACCGACACAGGUGGUCAGGUAGAGAAUACCAAGGCGCUUGAGAGAACUCGGGUGAAGGAACUAGGCAAAAUGGUGCCGUAACUUCGGGAGAAGGCACGCUGAUGGUAGGUGAAGUGACUUGCUCAUGGAGCUGAAAUCAGUCGAAGAUACCAGCUGGCUGCAACUGUUUAUUAAAAACACAGCACUGUGCAAACACGAAAGUGGACGUAUACGGUGUGACGCCUGCCCGGUGCCGGAAGGUUAAUUGAUGGGGUUAUCCUCACGGAGAAGCUCUUGAUCGAAGCCCCGGUAAACGGCGGCCGUAACUAUAACGGUCCUAAGGUAGCGAAAUUCCUUGUCGGGUAAGUUCCGACCUGCACGAAUGGCGUAAUGAUGGCCAGGCUGUCUCCACCCGAGACUCAGUGAAAUUGAACUCGCUGUGAAGAUGCAGUGUACCCGCGGCAAGACGGAAAGACCCCGUGAACCUUUACUAUAGCUUGACACUGAACACUGGUCCUUGAUGUGUAGGAUAGGUGGGAGGCUUUGAAGUGUGGACGCCAGUCUGCAUGGAGCCAUCCUUGAAAUACCACCCUUUAAUGGCUGGUGUUCUAACGUGGGCCCGUAAUCCGGGUUGCGGACAGUGUCUGGUGGGUAGUUUGACUGGGGCGGUCUCCUCCUAAAGAGUAACGGAGGAGCACGAAGGUCAGCUAAUCCUGGUCGGACAUCAGGAGGUUAGUGCAAUGGCAUAAGCUGGCUUGACUGCGAGCGUGACGGCGCGAGCAGGUGCGAAAGCAGGUCAUAGUGAUCCGGUGGUUCUGAAUGGAAGGGCCAUCGCUCAACGGAUAAAAGGUACUCCGGGGAUAACAGGCUGAUACCGCCCAAGAGUUCAUAUCGACGGCGGUGUUUGGCACCUCGAUGUCGGCUCAUCACAUCCUGGGGCUGAAGUAGGUCCCAAGGGUAUGGCUGUUCGCCAUUUAAAGUGGUACGCGAGCUGGGUUUAGAACGUCGUGAGACAGUUCGGUCCCUAUCUGCCGUGGGCGCUGGAGAAUUGAGGGGGGCUGCUCCUAGUACGAGAGGACCGGAGUGGACGCAUCACUGGUGUUCGGGUUGUCAUGCCAAUGGCAUUGCCCGGUAGCUAAAUGCGGAAGAGAUAAGUGCUGAAAGCAUCUAAGCACGAAACUUGCCCCGAGAUGAGUUCUCCCUGACCCUUUAAGGGUCCUGAAGGAACGUUGAAGACGACGACGUUGAUAGGCCGGGUGUGUAAGCGCAGCGAUGCGUUGAGCUAACCGGUACUAAUGAACCGUGAGGCUUAACCUU